UACGGGGGGGGCAAGCGUUGUUCGGAAUUACUGGGCGUAAAGGGCGCGUAGGCGGUUUGACAAGUCUGAUGUGAAAUCUCUGGGCUCAACCCAGAGUCUGCAUUAGAAACUGUCGGGCUUGAGUAUGGGAGAGGUGAGUGGAAUUUCCGGUGUAGCGGUGAAAUGCGUAGAUAUCGGAAGGAACACCUGUGGCGAAAGCGGCUCACUGGACCAUAACUGACGCUGAGGCGCGAAAGCUAGGGGAGCAAACAGG
rnacentral:rRNA from 1 species